CCACAGCAGGAACAUCAGCGCUGGAGGGGACAGCCUAGCUUUUUGUCUUCCAACCCUAGUGCAGAACCUUCCACAAAAGCUAGCCGUUAGAGGGAGUGCUGGGCUGAGCAGCCUCUGGCGCUGGGAGCAGCAGGAAGAGUGGGUGUGUGGAGGGAGGGCUCGGCUGGCAGCCAGCCCCCGCAGGGUCACACCCUCUAGACCCCUGAGGAGAGGGGGACCAACCCAGAGAGGAGUAGUGGCUGGGAGGUGGGGAGGCUGCAGGGCAUUUUGGAACAAAAGAAACUGGCUUAUGAUUCCAGGGGUGAAGUUUUCUAAAAAGGAAGGAACUUAAAAUCCUGGUGGGUGAGACAGGCCGCCACAGCAGACCAGAGCAGGGACACCUAGGCUGAGGGAGCCACUGCCCAUUUUGCACAAAGGAGUGACUUGACAGACCUGGGCUAUGGAGGGGCAGUCAAGGGAGGCCUCUGGGUAAGACAGGAGGUUCCAGGACGGGGAAUGCAAAUGCACGGGCCUUAAGGUAAGAGUGUGCUGGACCAUCUGAGGAAGAACAAGCAGCUGGAGUGGAGUGAGCACGCAGCAAGGAGAUGGGUGAGGAGGCAGGAGAUGGAGGAGGCUGAUCGGAAGGACUUGGCAACUGUUACAAGGCCUGCCCUUCAUCUUAACAAGAAAUGUUAAAAGAAAUCCUUCAGGGAGAAGGAAAAUGAUAUAGAUCAGAAAAUCAGAUCUACCUAAAGAAGAGUAUUAGAGAAGAAAUAAAUGAAGUUUGCAGCAUGUGGCUUCAGAGGGGACUUUCCCCAGCGGAGCAGGAAGAGCUGAUGGCUGGAACAGCCCCGAACAAGGGGCAAACUUUGCUGCCAACAGCUGCCUCCAGCAAGCACAAAAGCGUCAAGUGCCCAUAGCCGGACUGUCCACUCGGUGCCUCAGGACCUUCCACCCACCAAACCUGAGCAACGAGCUCUAGCAACAGGGGACUCUUAUUUCUGCGCUGGCAGCUGGACUUCCGCUCUCUGGUUGGCUAAGCCGUCUCUCCUGGGUACCGAUUCCUACAAAGGUACACCUUAACUCAAUUCGGACUUGAUUCUUUUCGGGUCCUCUUGCCUGGAACAAUAGGCGUGAUUAAGUCUACGGUUGGUUUGUAUGCUACUGGCUUGUGAAAUUACUGCAAUGUUAAAUAAAUGGCAGCAAAGACAACCUCAGUCUCUGGGUAUUAAUUUGCCUCGA